rnacentral:rRNA from 1 species
UUGACCUCAAAUCAGGUAGGACUACCCGCUGAACUUAAGCAUAUCAAUAAGCGGAGGAAAAGAAACUAACAAGGAUUCCCCUAGUAACUGCGAGUGAAGCGGGAAAAGCUCAAAUUUAAAAUCUGGCGGUCUUUGGCCGUCCGAGUUGUAAUCUAGAGAAGUGUUAUCCGCGCUGGACCGUGUACAAGUCUCCUGGAAUGGAGCGUCAUAGAGGGUGAGAAUCCCGUCUUUGACACGGACUGCCAGGGCUUUGUGAUGCGCUCUCAAAGAGUCGAGUUGUUUGGGAAUGCAGCUCAAAAUGGGUGGUAAAUUCCAUCUAAAGCUAAAUAUUGGCGAGAGACCGAUAGCGAACAAGUACCGUGAGGGAAAGAUGAAAAGAACUUUGGAAAGAGAGUUAAACAGUACGUGAAAUUGCUGAAAGGGAAACGCUUGAAGUCAGUCGCAUUGUCUGGGAAUCAACCUUGCUUUUGCUGGGCGUACUUUCCAGAUGAUGGGUCAGCAUCAAUUUUGACCGUUGGAUAAAGUCCGAAGGAAUGUGGCAUCUUCGGGUGUGUUAUAGCCUUUGGUCGCAUACAACGGUUGGGAUUGAGGAACUCAGCACGCCGAAAGGCCGGGUACUUGUACUACGUUCGUGCUUAGGAUGCUGGCAUAAUGGCUUUAAUCGACCCGUC